GAAAUCGUCCCCGGGGUGACGAAGCUUAUGGAAAAAAAGACCAAAGGCCUCGAGGCUGCCUCUUUCCCUUCGGUCGACGUGGACACUGUGCCGGACGCCUCUGGCAGGACUAACCCCGUGGCUUUUAUGUCCAACGUGCUGUGCUGUGUGUGCCUGCAGUAUCCUGUCCAAGACCAAGCUACCUUUCCUCGUGGGAAGGGACCGGCCGGGCUUUGGCAAUCUGGCCCCUCGAAAGACUAAAGUGACCUCUUCCAACAGGGGAAGACUGAAGCAAGCGGUGCCAGAAAGAACUGGAGUUUCUGGAGAAUAAAAGCUGGAAGCGUGCCCCCGAAAAUCCCCAGCCCCGGGUGGUCAGUGGUCUGACUUGCACGGACCGGUGGCCUUGGCCAGGAGCGGUCCUGCGGGAAGCGCCUUUGCCCAGCCUGUAAUUUUAAUUUCCAUUGGAUGCUUGGCAAAGCCCCCCUGGGUGAGCCCCAGUGCCUGGCAUGAGCGGAGCGGGCUUCCAGGGAGGCAUUCACCUGGUCAGCAUCAGGAACCAUCCUAACUGAGGCCUCGGCUGCCUCUUUCCCU